UACAGAGGUCUCAAGCGUUGUUCGGAAUGACUGGGCGUAAAGCGUGUGUAGGCGGACGGGCAAGUACCUUGUGAAAUCCCACGGCUCAACCGUGGAACUGCUGGGUAUACUGCCUGUCUUGAGUCAUCUAGGGGCGAGCGGAACAAAUGGUGGAGCGGUGAAAUGCGUAGAUAUCAUUUGGAACGCCAAUGGUGAAAACAGCUCGCUGGGGAUGUACUGACGCUGAGACACGAAAGCCAGGGGAGCAAACGGG
rnacentral:rRNA from 1 species